AGCUUGGAAAGGUGCAUUUUGUCCUGAUUCCUGCUGCAGAUGCACUAAUUGGGGCUCUGGUGAUGUCGAUUCUAAAGCAAUGAAGCUUCUGUGGUUUGUGAUUGGAGCCCCAGGUCAGGUCUGAGGCCCUCGCCGUUGCAUCCCUUUGGGUUGCUGAGAUUCCUGAGUGCCAUGUGGGCUGCAGUGACUGCAGAGACCUGGGGGAAUGGUGGCAGUUGUGAAAGUUAAUAGGCCCAUUUCUGCCCUUGGCAGUGGCUGAAUUGCAACUCCUGUCACAUGCUUGAGUCUUGGAGGUCGCCAUGGACUAUGCUGUGGUCCUAGGCCUGCAUUCCUCCUGCAGGUUGGCCAGAGGCCCAGAGAAGAAUGUUUGUGCAGGUCUUCUGAAGUCUUCCUGAAAGCAUCCCUGGUGAUCUGUGAGCCCUUGGUCGUGUUGCCCGCCUUCUUCCUGUGGGUCUUGCUGGAUGCUCAUUGUCCCUGUGAGCCGAGGCCCUGGAGGCUUCAGAUUUAGGUGAAGUUGCCACGUAUGACUGUCCAUCAGCCAGGAGAUGAACCCCCACCCGUGAGGCAGUGACUCAAGGUGCAAGGGAGUCCGGCAAGAAGUGUGGCGCACCCGAGUUGCUGCCACUGCUUUUUGGAUCACCCAGCACGGUACGGCUUCUCCUGUCCCAAGACGUGUCGUGAAUUUCAGGUUUCCUGGGACUGCCUGAGUGGUUGUUCGUAUAGAGGGACCGUUCCUCUUGCUGAG
rnacentral:lncRNA from 1 species